rnacentral:rRNA from 1 species
GAUGAACGCUGGCGGCGUGCCUAAUACAUGCAAGUCGAGCGAACAGACGAGGAGCUUGUUCCUCUGAUGUUAGCGGCGGACGGGUGAGUAACACGUGGAUAACCUACCUAUAAGACUGGGAUAACUUCGGGAAACCGGAGCUAAUACCGGAUAACAUUUGGAACCGCAUGGUUCAACAGUGAAAGACGGUCUUGCUGUCACUUAUAGAUGGAUCCGCGCCGCAUUAGCUAGUUGGUAAGGUAACGGCUUACCAAGGCAACGAUGCGUAGCCGACCUGAGAGGGGGAUCGGCCACACUGGAACGGAGACACGGUCCAGACUACUACGGGAGGCAGCAGUAGGGAAUCGUACGCAAUGGGCGAAAGCCUGACGGAGCAACGCCGCGUGAGUGAAGAAGGUCUUCGGAUCGUAAAACUCUGUUAUUAGGGAAGAACAAAUGUGUAAGUAACUAUGCACGUCUUGACGGUACCUAAUCAGAAAGCCACGGCUAACUACGUG